UCUAACCGUGUCUGACUCUUGAUUUUAAGACCAGGAAAAGGCAUCAAUUGUACCAAUUUCCCCCAUUUUACUGACACGGGUGAGUGCAACAUUGCCUGGCGAUGAUGUUCCCUGUUAUAAUGACACAGGUGAGUGCAGUGGUGCCUGGAGUGGAUGUCCCUUGUUAAGUGAUACAGGUGAGUGCAACAUUGCCUGGCAAUGAUAUCCCCCAUUAUAAUGACACAGGUGAGUGCGAUGGUGCCUGGAAUGAAUGUCCCCUGUUAUAAUGGCACAGGUGGGGUGAGUGUGAUGUGCCUGGAGCACAUCCCACUGCUAAAGUGCAUCAGGCAGCAUGGCAGAGAGCAGAAGGGCCUGUGCCAGCUGUGCCCUUGCCAGUGGUCCCUGUCACCUGCAGCCACGGUCCAUCAGCAACGCUUGACAGGGCGAGGGGCUGGGAGCUUCCAGGGGGCCCAGUUUGCAGCUGAAGGAGAUAGGGUAGGGCUGGAGACCAGGCUUUGUAAGACUUGUUUUGUAAGACUUUUCAGGUAAAUCUUCUGCGUGUAAAAAUAAGGUGCCCAUCCAGGGCACAAGGCCAAGGGCAGCGAUGGAUCAGGCUGUGGUGUCACUGGGGAGAAUCACAGUCACGGAAACAAUUAGGUUGGAAAAGACCUCUGAGAUCAUCAAAUCUAACCUUUGA